GGGAUCUCAUGGUUGAUGUGGGUGUGGUCAGCAAUGGUGCUAGCCAUAGAGGUGCUGUCAGAGGUCCCAUAAUCGAUGGUCCAGUGAGGUCUUCGGGUUGAAUCAUGAUGAAGAUACCAAGAAAAAGAGGGAAGAAGCAGACUAGGUAGCUCUUUUUAUGAUGAAAUCGAGUACAUCACCGGUUAAAUCCCAACUGUCAGUGACCUCACAGGGGAGGGG
rnacentral:lncRNA from 1 species